CUCAGUCUCUGUACAUGGAGAUUAUAGCCCAGUAACUAUAUAUGGAUCUGGAUUACAGGGUGGAUUUUGGUUUUGGGGUGUGUGUGUGUGUGUGUGUGUGUGUGUGUGUGUGUGUGUGUGUGUGAUUUUUUCCUGAGAACUCUGAAUAGCAGGCCUUUGGGUAGUGAGCAGACUGUGGCUAUCAGAUGUAUGAGAACGCGGUGGGCCCAGGACAGGAGACCCUGUGAAUCAUGGACUAUGUCUGGAGUUGCAGGGGCCAUGGCUCUAAGAAGCCUGAUAGACAAGGAAGGAAAACAUUUAAAAGGUUUUCUGUUGUUGUGACCCUGAGAUUAUAUUAUUUACUGGAAGAACCUGUUUCCAAUUGUGGUGUGGCUCAGCCCUAGCACACACCUUUAAUCCAAGAGCUUUCUGUUUGGAUAUUGUAAACAGGAUUAAAUAAAAUCAACCAUAGGUUAAGAGAUGGAGCAAACAACCAGGUGACAGAAAAAAAAAAACAUACAGAGUAAGAGGAAGUCAGGUGGACAGAUAGAGAGAUACCCAGAGGUAGAAGGGAGGAACAUUGAGUUUGAAGAGUUUUGAUUGAGAUGGUGUAAGAGCAAGCUCUCUUUCUGGGACAUCAACAGAAGAGGAAGGUCAGCCAGUUGCUUUUUCUGCUUCUCUGAGCUAGCAGGUUUCCACCCCAGCAUCUGGCUCCCGAGUCUUUAUUGGUAAAAUUGAGUGACUGAUAUUUUGUUGAAAACAAGUCUUUUCUCUGCCUGCUAUAUGAGUCACUUUAUAAUUUCUUAUAAAUUGAUGCUUGGAAAGUAUAUCUGUUUUAUUUGCUUAUAAAUCUGGGAUUGUGCCAAAAUUUCUCAGGAGAAAAGGGGUCAUGGAUAGAAAGAGUUUAAGAAGGUGGAAUGGUUCAUUAACCCCCUUUUGUAGUCCAUAUCCAGUCCAUCAGUUCUCUAUCUCUAGAGUACCCCAAAACAGGCACUUCUCUAUCUCUAGAGUACACCAAAACAAAUACAUCUCUAAAG
rnacentral:lncRNA from 1 species